GCCAUUGCCGGGGAGGAUACAUAGCAAGAUCAAGCUUACCAACCGGGGGCAACACUUGGAGUGCCAUUUGGGGCGGAGGAACAUGAUGAGAAAGGAAAAGGCUUGGGCGGGAUCUACUUCAACUCUCCAGCCUCAUAAGUGCAGGAUGUUUCUCAAUUCAGAAUUGGCUACUCAGAUGAAGUGGAACUGUGAAAGACGGCCCACGUUGUGAACAAAUUAAUUUGUGUUCUUUAAUGUGCUUUAUUGAAUCCACGGUGAUUCCAGUUGUGUGCAAUGUAUUGGUUGUACAAUAAUAAUAUUUAUUGGAUUUGUAUUUGAGUUGAAGGCUGAACUAUUUUAUGUGAUGCAUGUUUAUAAAGUAUCUGUCAUGAUGCGUAUUGCCGAAA